rnacentral:misc_RNA from 1 species
GAUGAAGAACGCAGCGAAAUGCGAUAAGUAAUGUGAAUUGCAGAAUUCAGUGAAUCAUCGAAUCUUUGAACGCACAUUGCGCCCUCUGGUAUUCCGGGGGGCAUGCCUGUUCGAGCGUCAUUACAACCCUCAAGCUCUGCUUGGUAUUGGGCUCUGCCGGUCCUGGCAGGCCUCAAAGUCAGUGGCGGUGCCAUCCGGCUCCAAGCGUAGUAAUUCUUCUCGCUUCGGAGGCCGCGGUGCGUGCUAGCCAGCAACCCCCAAUUUAUUUCAGGUUGACCUCGGAUCAGGUAGGGAUACCCGCUGAACUUAAGCAUAUCAAUAAGCGGAGGA